rnacentral:lncRNA from 1 species
GCUAAUGGUGAAGACUGUGCCGUACACAUUCAUGGCUGAGUAUCUAAUUGUUACAUUGUUAUAUAUCAUUUCUAGAAAUUAAAUGCCCAUGUUUGGGCAGCUAAAUAUAUUAUUAUCUGCACAUUUUUAUGGUUUAUUUAUGUACACUGCUGUGAAGACAUGGUAUUUUUAUUUCUCUUAUUGCAAGGUCUUUUAUAGUCGCCCAUUUUCUCUUGGAAAAAAAAAAGAGGAUCAGAAUUAUUUUUUUAGAUGUGUAGCAGUAGUGCUCUCAGGCUUAUAACUUAAUUCUCAUUUUUAUCCUUUUUACAUUAUUAUUUAGUGAUUCACAGGGGUGUCUAAACAUUUACAGUUCUCUGUUAGCAGCAUUUCUUUUAUAACAAUUGAGCUCUCUCAUUUUAAUGAGUACUAUUCAGGUUUUUGAUUCUGUACAAUUACAGUGGGCCACAUGUCUUUAGACUUCUUUGCUAACAUUGUUUGUUUCACUUCUAUCCAAGCCAAUUUAAUCCAAAUACAAUGUAAACUGUGUUUUCUUACUGCUUAACAUCCCUUUGCUAUAUAUACUCUAGUAAUCUCUGUAGAACAAUAUACAGUAAUUUAGAAACCA